rnacentral:rRNA from 1 species
AUUGAACGCUGGCGGCAGGCCUAACACAUGCAAGUCGAGCGGAUGAAGGGAGCUUGCUCCUGGAUUCAGAGGCGGACGGGUGAGUAAUGCAUAGGAAUCUGCCUGGCAGUGGGGGAUAACGUCCGGAAACGGGCGCUAAUAACGCAUACGACCUGAGGGAGAAAGAGGGGGAGCUUCGGACAUCACGCUAGGAGAUGAGCCUAGGUCGGAUUAGCUAGUUGGUGGGGUAAAGGCCUACCAAGGCGACGAUCCGUAACUGGUCUGAGAGGAUGAUCAGUCACACUGGAACUUAGACACGCUCCAGACUCCUACGGUAGGCAGCAGUGUGGAAUAGUAGACAAUGGUCGAAAGCCUUAUCCAGCCAUGCCGAGUGUGUGAAGAAGGUCUUCCGAUUGUAAAGCACGUUAACUUGUUAUGAAGCGCAGUAAGUUAAUACCUUGCUUUUUUGACGUUACCAACAGAAUAAGCACCGGCUAACUUCGUG